rnacentral:lncRNA from 1 species
GAAAGUGGAUCUUAAAAGAGAUGAAUAAUUAAAUCUGCAAGAGUUUCAAAUAUCUCUUCAUAGCAUUCCAAAAUAUAACUCCCUUCUCUACUUCCCAUAACCAUGCCAAUCAGUCUCCUUACUUGCAGAAGAGGAAGGUAGUUGCUGUCUACUUUCUAUACUUCUUGGCACUUGUCCUACAACAACCAGUCGUAUCAUAUUUUUAUGCUAGUAACUUUCACUGCCCUUGCAAAGUCAUUUCUUUGAGUUGUCCUGAAAAGAACAGGAUCUCAAGGUGGGUCGUGGUGGGCAAGGAUCCCACCAGGCUUAAACUGAGGUGACAACAGGAUUUUCCAGUGGUGGGGAUCCUCUGGACCAUGGGGAAGGCAUGCAAGCGGCACUGGGAAUGGACAAGAGCAGGGCUGGAGCACAUAAAGUGGACCUGAGACGGUGGCACUGGGCUUUAUGUGUGCUAUGGGAAACAGAGAAGAACCUAAGGGAGAGGGUGUUUAUUUGAAAGCGGUGAGUUUGGAAAAUGAUAUUGAGGAAAUAAGCAGGCUGAAUAGAAGGCACCCGAAAAAGAAUGCCAGGAGAGAAAGUGAGCGACAACACCAGGGGACAAGACAAUGGUAAUUCCAUAAUUAGGUAUGAUCUGAGAUCAAUAUGGUCUGUUUGCUUUGUGUUCACUUGUCCUUCAUUCAAUUGCUGCUCUUUGGUGUUAUUUCUUGCCACGCUUUUCAAUACUUUAUGUGGCAUGUGCAGUGCAGUGUGUGUGUGUGUGUGUGUGUGUGUGUGUGUGUGUGUGUGUACGUGUGCAUUUUCCUUGAGGGAUAUUUUAAUGCAUGAUUUGUGAGUAAGUUUGGAUUCUCAAAACGUGGCAAUGCCAAAACAGAGAGAAGAAGUUGCUCAUUGCCAACUCUGAGGUGCAGUGGCAGUUCUCUUCAACAGGGGCCUGUUUUCCAGAAUCCAAAGAAGGGUAUAAGUACAGCAUCUUGCAAGUCAUGCAGCAAAACAGGAUGGCUCCUACGAAGAGCGCCAAAACCUGCAGGGAAGUUGUGCUUUGGAUGAACCUCUUACUUCUUGGGCAUGGAAGUCCUUUCACCAAGAACAGAGACAGCCCUUGCCAAAUCUAAACUCACCGGGCCUAUGUUAUUUCAGGUGAAAACACUGUGUUUGUUCCAGGCACAAACACAUACAGGUGACUCAUCAGGUUCUAAGAUGGAACAUAAUGACACAAGAGUACCAGGCACAAAACCAUGCUCUCAAGCCACUCAGAAGGCACUUUAGAUGAUGAAAACCAAACAGAAGCUGAGUGACCAACCUCCCCACCCCCAUCACACUCAGCAGGCUGAGCAGAGUCACAGAACACACACACCUGGGUGGAACAGAUGGCACCCCGGUGCUAUUGUUAUUUUACAGUCUGGCUGAAUGGCAAGCUGAACUGUCAAGGACAAUAUGUAGACUAUUGCAGUUAAACAGGGGAUUGUGUCUCCCAAGAAAGGAUUCCACCAUCUCGGUGGAGUUAAGUAUAGCUUCUCCACACAGGGGAAGUGAGGACAGCUGAGAUUUUCCAGGAGAAGUGAUUUAGAUUAUAUAAAGACCCUUAAUGAAUUAUUUCCAGGCAUUGUCUGCAGUGUCAUAUUGCUUGAGCUUUCCGUUAGCAGCUUCCUGGAAAAGAACUUCUGCUUGUCUGGGUCUUGAGUUUCUGUUGCUUACAGCAGCCAGAGUUGCCAUCUGUGCACA